CAGGGAAUUAGCAAUGGAUUGUUGAAGAGGUGGAUUUCUCAAAAUGAAGUUGUGGUCAUAGGUUUAUACUUAUGAAUCCAGACUAGGAAUCAGCCGAACUGAAUUCUAUAUUUAAAAAGUGAUCUUGAGUAAAUCACAUUCUUUCUUUUUUUGGUGCCACAGUUUCCUUUUAUUUCUCAUGGAACAGUGACUAAGAUGAAAGGUCUGAGUUUUCUUCUUCCUUCUUCCUUCUUCCUUCUUCCUUCUUUCUUCUUCUCCUUCUCCUUCUCCUUCUGCUGCUGCUGCUUCUUCUUCUUCUUCUUCUGCUGCUGCUGCUGCUACUGCUUCUUCUGCUGCUGCUGCUGCUGCUUCUUCUUCUUCUUCUGCUUAUGCUUCUUCUGCUGCUGCUGCUUCUUUUCUUUUGCUUCUGCUUCUUCUUCUGCUUCUUCUUUUCUUUUGCUUCUGCUUCUGCUUCUUCUUCUGCUUCUUCUUCUGCUUCUGCUUCUGCUUCUGCUUCUUCUGCUUCUUCUGCUUCUGCUUCUUCUGCUUCUUCUGCUUCUGCUUCUGCUUCUGCUUCUGCUUCUGCUUCUGCUUCUGCUUCUGCUUCUGCUUCCGCUGCUUCCGCUGCUUCCGCUGCUUCCGCUUCUUCCGCUUCUUCCGCUUCUUCCGCUUCUUCUGCUUCUUCUGCUUCUUCUUCUGCUUCUUCUGCUUCUUCUUCUGCUUCUUCUGCUGCUUCUGCUUCUGCUUCUUCUGUUUCUGCUUCUGCUUCUGCUUCUGCUUCUGCUUCUUCUGCUUCUGCUUCUUCUGCUUCUGCUUCUUCUGUUUCUGCUUCUGCUUCUGGUUCUGCUUCUUCUUCUGCUUCUUCUGCUUCUGCUUCUGCUUCUGCUUCUUCUUCUGCUUCUUCUGCUUCUUCUUCUGCUUCUGCUUCUGCUUCUGCUUCUUCUGUUUCUGCUUCUGCUUCUGCUUCUGCUUCUUCUGUUUCUGCUUCUGCUUCUGCUUCUGCUUCUGCUUCUUCUGUUUCUGCUUCUGCUUCUGUUUCUGCUUCUGCUUCUGCUUCUUCUGCUUCUGCUUCUGCUUCUUCUGUUUCUGCUUCUGCUUCUGUUUCUGCUUCUGCUUCUGCUUCUUCUGUUUCUGCUUCUGCUUCUGCUUCUGCUUCUUCUGUUUCUGCUUCUGCUUCUGCUUCUGCUUCUGCUUCUUCUGCUUCUGCUUCUUCUGCUUCUGCUUCUGCUUCUUCUGCUUCUUCUGUUUAUUCUGCUUCUUCUGCUUCUUCUUCUUUUUCUUCUUCUUCUGCUUCUGCUUCUUUUUCUUCUUCUUCUGCUUCUUCUUCUGCUUCUUCUGCUUCUGCUUCUUCUGCUUCUGCUUCUGCUUCUUCUUCUGCUUCUUCUGCUUCUUCUGCUUCUGCUUCAUCAAGAUAUUUUAUUUUCCCAAUUAUAUG
rnacentral:lncRNA from 1 species